UUGUCUGCAACAGAUACAAAGGAACACAGAGCCAAAUGGUACGGCGUUACAGAAUCUUUGGGCUAUUGUCCGAUCCCUGAUGCCUGAGUCCCCGGAAGCAUUCUUUGGUUGAGUACCUCUGGCGAUGGAGGACACACUACUCCCAAAGCCAUCCUUCCACCUGCGGUGUGUUAACCACCACAAACCGUGCCACGCCUGUCAGUUUGUACUUCACACGGACCUAAAUCUGCCUCCCUGGGACUUGCACCUGUUCGUCCACAUUUCAUCUCAAUUCUGUCCUUCCAGGUGGCAAGGUUUUACUCCUUAACGGUAAGCUGCGCGCGCUCCCCUUCAGCUCUGGGACCAGCUCUGCAAGGCGUUCUCCUCGUAGAUGAAGCAAUGAAGGUUCAUCAAGGCAAAAUGAUUCCAGAGCCAGGAUCCAAACCCAGAUCUUUGUGGCUUUGAGUUUAUUCUCCUCUUUUUUAGGGGCUAAGCAGGUACCCAUAUUAGUAAAACUGAGGUGUCUGAAAUCCUAGGGAAUGGUGGCGCUUUGGGAAAACUGAAAAUGUUCACCAGAAGAUACUCGGAUUUCAAAGUUAAAUAAGCAAAACCUCCUGGAGUCAUCUGGCACCCACGUACCAGCUUAUUAUUUUCACCACUUUCCAGAAUUGCAGACGCAGAUUCCCACUCUUCUCGCCCUGAUGAUUGUGAGUAGCACACAACUAUGGAGGCACACACAGCAGACCCUGUUUUCAUCUGCUGAUCUCCAGCAGCACGCUGGCCAGACUGCGACGGCCGCAGGAGGCGGUGCGGUGCCCACUGGGGUGGUUUGUAUGGACCUUCGUGUUCAUGGCGCCCCUGGAGGCCAGCGAUGUAGUUAUGGGGUGUGGGAAGCGGCAGCAAUCUGCAGGGGAGGCUCGAGGUAGGGCUGUCCUGGCAAAAUGCGAGCACACAGGUCCCCGGGGUGGUCUGUUGUGUGCCAGGGCUGAGAUCACCACUGGAGGGAUUGAGAUGGAAAACAGAGCGGUCCCCGGUCACGUGACUCCAGCUUCUGCUCCUGGCCUUUGCACGUGCUGUUUUCUCUGCCCGGAAGUCUCUUGUUUCCUCACAUCCGUUCCUUCCUCCGUGGUCCCCAUCACCCUGUGGGCAGGUCAGCCAUCCUCACAGCAUGGAAUCCAGAAGCCUUUCUGGCAUCCUGGGCUUUUCGGUCACUUCCUGUGUACGGUCUCUCAGCCCCGGAGUGCAGAUUUGACUGCCUCCCACUGCCACAACCACGGGCAGCCUCCUCUCUGCCCUCUGGGCCACAGCCACCUAACAUCAGGGAGCCGCUGUACUUGCGCCCAGGCUCUGCUGCCUCCCUGCACUCACCGGUCUCCCCCUAAAUCACAAGGCUCUCUGCAGCUCAGCUCAGCACCGGCCCUAGGGCGCCUCCCUGGGUGCCCAGGCUGGACCCGGCUCCUCUCCAAAGCCUGUCCUCAGUGCCGGGCGCCAUCCCAUCACACUGGCUGUCUGCUAGAUCCCGGGACACAAGUGACCCCCGGGAGGCUGGGCCUCGUUCACCACGGCUGCUGUGCGAGGUGCGGCCGCUGGGAGGUGGGCAAAACAGCUGCGGCCCAGGCGCUCGCGGUGCCCACCGCCAGGGGGCAACGGACUCAGCGCCUUCAGGCACCGUUUCAGAUGAACGUCAGGGAACUUCUCACGCAGCCAGCUCUCUCCCUGGUGACAGAGAGGGGCCUGGGGCCGAGCAUGGAGCCCACACCGCAGCCCCUGCCUCCUCCUCUUCGCUCCCCAGGCCCUGCCCUCCUCCCACUGCUCGGCAGCGAGGUGACAGUGUGGGUGGCUGCUGGCAGGGCUGUGUCCAUGGAAACCGAGCGCUGUGGAGGAGCGGAGUCAGGUGCCUCCUGACCCGCGCUGCAGGUCCGCUCUACCCGGGUCUGGUCCUGGCCCACCAGUGACUUCUCUCCUCCUUUCGUCUCCACAUGGGGGCUCUCAGAAGUUGUGUUGCCCCCCACCUUCAGAGACAUCCAGUAUCCGGCACUGAAGUCUCUCCACCCACGGUUUCUGCUGUGGCCCAGCCCUGAUCACCUGUACCCUGUGUGGCCACAGUGGGCAUCUGGCUGGCUUUCCUGCUUCUGCUCCUCUCUUGGUCUGUCAUCUCCUCCUCUGCUGACAUCUUGGGAUCUCCCAGAACAGAAACCACGAUCCACGUAAUGUCCUACAGUCCAAAGGCAGAUACCAGGAUAUGACUCUGUUUCUCUCUAAUUGCCGUCUGCUGACUUCAAAUGUACUCAUGAAACCUGCCCGCUCCUUCUUACCAAUGCAAUCCAGAAUCCAGCCGACCGUGCCAUCUCCUCCGCAGGCCAGCACCCGGAAGUCUGGAGUAUCACGGAAAAAGUUCAGGCUGCAAAGAGAAGGAAGGCCACCGUGGCCUCGUUACUGGGCCGUGGCUGACAUCAGAUGCACGCUGAGUCAGUCUCCCUGCUCCCCAGGGGGUAAGACCUUGACUCUUUGGGGAGUUGAGAAGGUCACUUAAUGUUCUGAAUCCAGAAGUCACUAUGUGUGCCACAGAGUGUGAGAAAAGUCCCAGGAAGCCAACCCUGUCUUUGACCCCCUUCAGGUUCUCCUGACUGCUGUCUGUGCCACUUCUCCUGUGCACAGGAUUCACGGAAGUAGCUGGGUCCUCACUUCACUCUUCUGUGGGCACAGAGCUAAGUGGGGCCUGCAUCCUGCUGCCCCCAGGAGCCGGAGCCCUUUGGACUGGGCUCUCUACCUGGGUGCCAUCAACUUCCAGGGGACUUGUGCGUAGAAUUCAGAGGGCCAUGAACUCAAGGGAGAAAAAUUACAUUCAUGUGUUCCUUAAGCAUCUGCUGAAGUCUAGGAUUUCCUUCACACUCUGAGUGUGGGCAACAAAUCACAGAGCUAUGAACCGUCCUGUGACUUCCUCAGCAGUUAAAAUCACAGUGAACUCCCUGUCUGAUCACAGACGGACAAGCACAUCAGAGACACUCAGGAUCCACCCGCCCCGGAAGCCAGGACCAGUUUGUCAGACACAGUAAUGACAAUUUAGGAUAAAGCUGAACUAGAGGACUGCGUGGUUUGUAAUGCCACUGCUAUAAAUAGCAGAAUUGUGUCAGACAGCUGAAGACGAGGAGGACAGAUUCUGUUUUUAGAAUUCUUACUAAACCGGCCCCUGGGGAAUCCAGAAGACAAACGACCCUUAAGAGGGGAUUAAAUUUCGUCCACACGCGGGGAGAGCACAGGCCGAGACUGACCAGCAGAUGGCGCUACAGCAGACUCCGCCAACCUAGUCUUCCGCGCCUCCCACCUUUGCUGGAGGGACGUCGCAUUACAGGGACGCUCUCUCCUCUGAGGGACCAUGAAGACAGCAGCUCACACAGCUUUGCCAAGAAGACCAAAUAAGUCACCAGCCCCCCACAAUCAAAUACAUAGUAUAUGCAGUUUUCCCUUCUCACAAAAUCAACAAGUUUUUGAGUGGACAAGGUACAGGGGCCACUCCUCAAUCAGCUGUGAGGAUGUGUUCCCCAGCAUCUCCAGAAGGAGUCAGCGUGGGAUGUGAGACAGAGGAGAGCAAGGGUGUCAGAUGGCUGGGGAAAUGAGUCCAGAGAUGAGACUCUCUUCAGAGACUAAAGAGGAGAGGGAGGAGGAGGAGGAGGAUCAUACCCUGGAGUAGGUCCCCCAUUGUCCAAGUUGAAAACCUGUUUGGGGUUGAGCAGGUAGUGGAAUUUCCGAAGAAUUCUAUGGGCAGAAAGGAAGGGAAAGUGAAGUCACAUGAGGGCAAACACUUUUCCGCAUUUCCCCAGCGCUGGGACAGUGCAUUCGUGAAACCGAGAGAGGAGACCUGUACGCAGAUUCUGAUAUCCUCAGCCCCUGCUCAUCUAAGACUGUGGCCCCCACCCUAGAAGCCACAUCCCUGCAGGGGACGGGGUAGAGAAGCCCAGAGGACAGGCGCUUCUUGCACAGACACCUGGUGCCCAACGCCAUUGUGGUCUGUGCCAUGGGAUCCUGCCUCUCGUGCACUGUCCCAAGGCUUCGGAGAACUGCGGAGAGGACCCUGCAUCCCAGCUCCUAGGGCGAAUGCAGGGGAGGCAGGCCUGGGGCUGAGAAGCAACGGCCGCCUCUGGGCUCCAGCGCAGGAGGGGUGUCCUGCCCCCUGGACUCAGGUAGUUCUUACUUUAUCCUUAUUUCUUCUUUGUUUUAAAGGCAGGAUUUUAGAUGAGCAAAUGUGUCAUCGGCUUGUUACUCUGGGACAGACUUGGGAGGCAGGAUUGCUUUGGCCCUUUUGUCCCUCUCUCCUCACUCUGCUUAGUGGUCUCUAUAGCUUCUUCACGGAUGAGGUGGGUGUUCCACCUGCUUGGGAUUGGGGACGGGCCAGGAGGUCCCAAGCAGUGAGUACCAUCACGCCUCUUAAACCAAGGCAUUGGAGGCUAAGAAGGAACCAGCUUCUCGGAAGUCCCCCGGAGCCUUGGCAGUGGCUCAUGUGACAGUCCCUGGGCUAAUUCUAAUUCUUAAAAUAAAAUGAGCAGAAACAUUAUCUCAUUUUACAAAGAAAGAAAUGGAGGCACGAGGUCAUUAAGCUACUUGGGCUGGGUGGUGCUAGGAUGGGAGCCCGGGUCUCCAUCUCCAUAGUUACAGAGUUCACUCUCUGUGGUCCAGGGGUACGAGGGGUCUGGGUCCCUCUGCUGUGUAAAGGAAGAGAACAUACCUUUCUCCUUGUCUCCCUCCGCUCUUCG